UUCUUCGGUCAGAUAGACUCUUCCGUCUUCGAGGCGAUAAAGUUACACUCGUAUCUCGUAUCGUUCCUUCCAUUUAUGAAAAUAAUCUAAGUUAAUUUUGAGGAAUUCUGUUCGAUAUUCUUCGUUCUUCGAGUGGCGAAGUUGGUUUCUAGUAAUUUUACGGGUAUAAAAUGAAAUUGGACGAGAGAGUUGAAAAGAAACGGAUUGUCUGUCGAUACGAAGGGUCGUGCCCCUUUAAGGUUGCUCAGUUCGCACGUUUCGUUAAACGAAUGGAAAAGUACGCGCGACAACGAUAGAGAACCUAUUUCUAAUCCUAACGACAGUUCUGGCUAAUGCCAUAUCUCGAUCAACGUGACGACGGGUGAAACAAUAGAGAAACUACUUCAAAUUUUUAAAAAUGUUCCAUCAGAGUCAUACCACGAUCAGUAUGACAGUGACAGAAGCUUGCUUCAAAUCCUAAAAAAAGUAUUAGUCAAUGUCACGCCUUGAUUACUAUGAUCACGACAGAAAAUUAAUUUAGGAACCUAACGAGACUAUUAAUCAAUGUCAUUCGUUCAUUAGAGCAAGAAUAACGCGCAACAAUAAUAGAAAUGUUACUUUAAAUCCUAAAAAUUAUAAAAUAUUAGCCACAGUAAAUUCUUAAUAGAAAGCAUUGUAUUCGUUUUUUCUUUCACGAUGGAAUUUCUUGAAAGUAAUUUCCAUCGGAAGCCAUCGAUCGUAACGUCGUAACUGAAAUUCGUGUCGACGGCAGCUUUAUUAUCGGUUACAAUUAUUUGCACGUAACGCGCGUGCAACGACGCUCAUAUUCCGUGUUUCAUCGUCUUCGUGCCAUUGAAUUUAUCGCUACCGUUAUACACCUUUCGACUGGAUCCCCGCCUCUCGUCGUGUCCGUUUGAGUUAAAGCGCCGCUCGAACCGAGUACAAGCGAAGACUACACCGAACACUCUCCUCGCUCUCUUCGGGCUCGACACGAGCCGCUGCAUUUUCAGAACGGUACUCCUAACUGUAUCUUACAUACGUAUACAUGUACAUGUGUAUAUACGUCUGUUUCUACUCACCUGUCGGCAUCGCGACCAAGCACCCGCGCAUACCGAUCGGAGAACAAGGGAAAACGACCGCGUCGAUGACCCUAGACGAGAUGACGAAUUCCUUGAGUAGAACUUAUCCAUGGGCUCCCAUGGAAUUCGAGGGAACCGAGCGAAUCUUUAAUUCACACGUCUUCAUACGUUGUAUAGAUAUUGGAACACGAUUCUUAACACCUGGAUCAUUGACAACUAAGGUGUAGAGUUUGUAUCAAAGAAAUUAAAAUUGGAUGCUUACGAAGAUAAAGUUUUAUCCGUGUUUUUCUAUAAACGUAUUAUUCAAAUCUCCAAAGCUUGCAUUGUUAUAAAUAUACGAAAUUUCCUCGAAAAAUAAUAAACUAUACUCUAGUAGAUCUAGUACUAAAUUCAUAUCUUAUGACGUCACGAAUUUGAUAAUGUUCUUGAAAACCAUUUUAUCUUUUUUGCAUAUGCGAUUCGAUGAUUGGAACCUCGUUGUUGGAGAAAUUUGAUGAAUUACAAGUUACAAGCCAGCAGUGUAAGUAAAUUAAAUUUCCAGAAGUCAGUUUUAUGCGUCAUAAAUGUCAUAUUUAAUGAAUUUUAGAGAAUUUCAAGAACCGUUUAUGGAAUACAGGGUAUUUUGUAAUUUCUUAAUAUCAUUUGUCCCCUAAUUAUUGUGCCUAUCCCUAUUAUUAACUAAAGAAUUUUGUCUUUCGCGAAGUACGAUGAACUACAUUUUCCACUCUCUCUCUCUCUCUCUUUCUCUCUCUCUCUCUCUCUCUCUCUCUCUCUCUUUACGUCUGCGUAAGUCAUUUGAUAUGGAAGCACGAUCCUUAUGUUCGUAUCUAAUGACACAUAACAUGAAAUGCGAUAUUGUUUUGAAGACUACGCGAUCUGGUGUAAAAGACUUAGUUAUUUACGAGGCACAAUGAACUCUAUUUCCCAACAUUCUCCUUCUUCUUCUCGUUAUUUUACGCGGUACGUUAUACGUUCUAGUUAAAGCGAAUUGAAUUUUCCGAGGCCUGAUUCAGAAAAUCUAAACCGUAGCUAGUCGAUAAAUAUAUUCUCCGUACAGUCGAAGCAUCCUUUAAGGAAUCCUUUGUGCGACCAAGAUUUUCUCAUUACGUCGACCCGGUACUAAUUUAUUCGUACACGAUGGGCAAUCACGGAGGAAACGGUUAGUCAUCGUUCAACGAUCCUUCGUUGAAUGAGACGCGACGAGUCAGCUUUGAAGCAAGAAUCCCGCUUCAAUGAGCUACACGAAGCGAAACACGGACCAGAGAGAAACGUCGAAGGAGUGGAGAGAAAAAAGAACGAAAAGAGAAGAAGAGAGAGGACAUACGAUGAAAGGGGGAGAAGUUCUCGGCUGGCUCGAGUCAAACAACGUGUAGCGGAUCUUCUACGCGGAUAUACACGUAAGUACGUACGUGCGGAUCGCGUGUAGGGAUACUCACGUAAUGUAGGCCCGUUGCCGGAGAUACCGUAAGACCUUGCUGUUACGUCACUAGAAGCCGCAUGAUUAGGAGAAAAAGGAUACCGGCGAGAAGGGAGAGAAGGAAACGGAAACUCUGUCCUCGGGAUGCGCACGCCGAGUGCCGCCUGUUCUUGGAAAUUCGUCGGCGCAAUAUUUCCUUAGCCCUUCAAAUCGUCUUUUUUUCUUUUUUUCUUUUUUUUUACUUUUUCGUUGCCUUUUAACCUGUUAACCAUAAGACGAGUUACUGAGAAUAUAAAUUUCUCCGAAUUGUACUCUAUUCAAAAACUCCCCAUGUUUUUUAUUUAUUGUUUUAUUUGCAUAUUUUGAGCUUCUUAAUUAUGAAGUAGAAUAUUAUUAAAUUAAUUAUAGAAUUAUAGAUCAGCCUUAUUUCAUUUGUAAACAGUUUCUCCACGUUUCUAAAUGUUAAAAUGGAUAAUAAUGGAAAUAGAAUAAAUUUACUUUAAAAAUUUACAUUACUUGAAAAAUUACAAUUUAUAAUUGUUAAAUGGAUUGAGAAUGGAAGAAUCAAGUAGUAACUUUGAAUAGAUCCUUUUAAUAAUUUUGAAAUAAAUGCGAGAUUCUCUGUUUUUCGAGAUGCAGUUUUCCAGAUUUGUUGAGUUUUCCAGACUUGAAAAAUAAUCCUAUAAUGCCAGACUAAGUGGAAUCGGAGUCUUUUAAUGGCUGCAAAAUAGUCUCAAUUAACAGAAUUACAACAGAACGGUGGUUCCAGGCAGUUUGGGAGGUAGCAUGCGGGAAUCGAAAGUGAUUAUGUAGCUGUUCCACGCUGAAAUGUUUCUAAAAUAAGAGACGUAUGUGUGAAGUUAUAAUUACGUGUCUGUAGAAGUUGCUUAUAAAUUUUGAUGUGCGAAAUGGGCUAAAUGAUCUUCAGUUGAUCUCUUCGGUCAAACAAAUCUAGCCGUGCUAAACGAGACAAUAUGUCACUUUUGUGCGAACUCUCAUACUUGCAAACUUUAAUUUUACUCUCAUUUUUUGUAAUUCUGUACUAUUUUUAACAAACAUUCUUUUACCUGAUACGUUCUAUGCGUUGAUAUUAUAAAAUAUUUACUUUAUCAUAUCGCUAUUUAUUGAUGUGAAUAAAUAGAAUUUUCACGACAUUUUCACGAUGUAACGAAAGGUUGAUGAAAACAUCUCCAAAAGAAGUUUCAUUUCUUUCGACGAAACUGGCAAACGAUGCAUCACGUGUUCGCCGGAGAUUUCGUAAGAGCCGACGUUUAUUUCGUCACGUAAGUACUUACGAUGACUGCUGAGGCUUCACGUGAAAUCAUCAGCCCUUCGAAACUCCCCUCCCUCGUUUUCCUUCUCUUCCACGGAACCUCCGUCACCGACACGGUCUGCGUCCACGUGUUUCUAUCUGCGGUCAGUGCACCUUGCUGCACGAACCACGGCCAUUUACCGAAGGUCCACGUAACGCGACCGUGCUUAAUAAUCUUUUCUCCCAAGGAUCGUCAACCUUGCCGAUGGAGAUGGAGAAAACGAUAGGUAAUAGGCGGGAUCAAGAGGUUGAUACUCAAAGUCCAUGGACCUUCUUCAGGGUGUCUAACCGCCUGGCAGAGUGAUUAAUCAAACUAAGCUUUCUUCCACGAGCAUUAGAGCGUGUUAGAUAAUUUUCUAUUAAUUUGAUAAUUACAAGCUACCUCGCUUCCGAAAUAUGUAGCGCCAUUAGAUAAUUUCAGAGAAUAUAAUUAACCCCUUAAUGCUCGAACUUCUUCUUUUUGUUUUUUCGUUUUUUUUCUUUCUACUCUACCGGUAAAGAAUGAUUAACUAUUUUAUUGCAGAAGACCAUUUAUAUGAAAAACAGUGUGAAUACAUGUGAUAUAUGUAUCUAAUUAAAAGUUCAUAAAUACAUGAAUCAAACAAUAUUUUUCGAAACGAUGGACGAUAUUGCGUAUGCCUUUUAAGAAGCUGAUUUUUAUUUAGUUUGAAUUUUUCUAAUUUUUAUUGAAAAUCUUUAGAUUGUAAGAUUAUUAAUCCAAAGUUCGAUGAGAUGCAAUUUUCGAUAUGUAUCUCACGUAUCCCAAUGAAACGUAAGCUCAAAUAUAAAAAAUGCUUACGCACGAAAAAGCGAUAUAAAAUAAACGUCUGCAACAAUGCAAUUGGAGACAGAAGGAUGUACGUGCGCACGGAUCGUUCAUCAUCCAUCCGGUUUGAUAUCGCGCCGAUGCAAAUGUUCAUUGGAUUUUCGUGUCGAUGACACGUGUUAAUGAAACGUUUAGCUUGGUACACAAUACGGAAGUGCAAAGUGCAGAUGAAGUCGCUGAACUUGCACCUCCUCCUUCGUCAUUCUUAUAAAAGAAACGCUGACCUUUCGUCUUUAAAAAUAUUACCUCAUAUUCCUGGAGUCGUGUUUAUAUUUUCCGCGAAAAAAUUCUGGAUCUAUUUUAUUUCGAGAAAGGCCAUUGAACUCUAAAAAAAUAUACUCCACUUGAAUCCAAAUUAUGUUAGAUUAUAGCAUAUGACGUAUUCUAUUUUGCAUCCAUCUUCUAAAACUCCUAUUUUUAUCGACGAAUAUUUGUAUCUUUGUAGAUAUAUCACUGAUGAUUCAUCGCAUAUCAUUUGAAUAUUGAGAAUUUUCUUUUUCAUAUACAAUGGAUACAAAAAGUAUUUGCAAGUAUCCUUCUUUUUUAUCAGAUUCUACACAAUUCAUUUUCAUAGUAUCAAAUUCCGGUAAUGUGAAAUAAAAAUACUAACUGAUACCUAAAUUUAAUAUGCUUGAACCUAAUUAAUAUGUAAACGCUAUAAUAAAUGAUGCGAGAACGUUUUUUGUAACCACUGUAGAAUUGAACUUAUAGAAUUUAGCAUAAAUUCUUGUGAAGCAUAAAUCGUCAAAAACUGGACAUUUCACGUAUAAGCUAAUAAUAAAAUAGCAGUCUAUAUUUUCAUUAACCUAUUUUUCGUAUCUUUAGAGAAAUACAAAAAUUCUGUAACUUGAAGUCCAAUGACAGACAGUCUACUUAUGUCAUCACCCUCUUAACCCAGUCCCCUUUUUUCACGCCUACCCUGUCUAUCUUAAACGCAACAAUUCCAUUCUUACGUGUACUACUAUGUCGUUCGUAAGUCGACCGUGUCGAUCAGUCUUG